rnacentral:misc_RNA from 1 species
AAGUCGUAACAAGGUUUCCGUAGGUGAACCUGCGGAAGGAUCAUUAUUGAACUAUGUUUCUAGAUGGGUUGUAGCUGGCUCUUUGGAGCAUGUGCACGCCUGUUUGGACUUCAUUUUCAUCCACCUGUGCACCUAUUGUAGUCUUUGUGUUGGGUUAUUGAGGAAGUGGUCAGCCUAUCAGCAUUUUGCUGGAUGCGAGGUCUUGCAGUGUGAAAGCAGUGCUGUCCUUUACUUGGCCAUGGAGUCUUUUUCCUGCCAGAGUCUAUGUUUAUUCACUAUACCCUGUAAAAUGUCAUUGAAUGUCAUUGCAUGGGCUUAUAUGCCUAUGAUAAUUGUAAUACAACUUUCAGCAACGGAUCUCUUGGCUCUC